rnacentral:rRNA from 1 species
CAUCAUGCCCCUUAUGACCUGGGCUACACACGUGCUACAAUGGACAGAACAAAGGGCAGCGAAACCGCGAGGUUAAGCCAAUCCCACAAAUCUGUUCUCAGUUCGGAUCGCAGUCUGCAACUCGACUGCGUGAAGCUGGAAUCGCUAGUAAUCGCGGAUCAGCAUGCCGCGGUGAAUACGUUCCCGGGCCUUGUACACACCGCCCGUCACACCACGAGAGUUUGUAACACCCGAAGUCGGUGAGGUAACCUUUUAGGAGCCAGCCGCCGAAGGUGGGACAGAUGAUUGGGGGAAGUCGUAACAGUGCGGGUCCGUCAGGUACCGGUGAAAGCA